CGGCGGCGGCCCGACGGGGAGCCGCGGCCCGACGGGGCGCGCCGGGCAACGGUCAGCCGCCCGGCUCGCCUCCCGGGCCGCCGUC
rnacentral:tRNA from 1 species